UUAUGAAAAAUUCAUCACAAAUAAUAUAUAUUUAAUGUAAUAUGUAUGAAUUGUGUGCAAUUUUUUCAUAUAAGGACAUUGUAAUCUGUUAAUAUAAAUACAUCUAUUAUAAGAUACAUGUAUAAAGCUUAGUCGAUAUUUUUUAAAUAUUCGAUUAAAUUAUAUGUUAUCGAAUAGAUAGUUGACAGAUUUUCUACAUAUAUAACGCUUACAUUUUAUAUGUUAUAAUUAUGUGGAAUAUUUUAUAAUUUCUAUAUAUAUUAUAUGCGUUUAUAUGAUUGACAAUGCAUAAGAUUUAGGAUACCUUCAGGACCCGUCUUGAAACACGGACCAAGGAGUCUAACAUGUGUGCAAGUCAUUGGGUUUAUUUUUUAUAAAUAAAACCUAAAGGCAUAAUUAACUUAACUGUUAAUAUUUGGGAUAAGUAUAUAUUAUUUAUAAUAUAUAUUCAAUCCCGGGGCGUUCCAAUAGUUAUGUAUAUUAAUAUUUUUAAUAUUAUUUAUACCUCUAACUGGAGCGUACCUUGAGCAUAUAUGCUGU
rnacentral:rRNA from 1 species